rnacentral:rRNA from 1 species
GACGAACGCUGGCGGCGUGCUUAACACAUGCAAGUCGACUGAAAGGCCCUGCUUUUGUGGGGUGCUCGAGUGGCGAACGGGUGAGUAACACGUGAGUAACCUGCCCUUGACUUUGGGAUAACUUCAGGAAACUGGGGCUAAUACCGGAUAGGAGCUCCUGCUGCAUGGUGGGGGUUGGAAAGUUUCGGCGGUUGGGGAUGGACUCGCGGCUUUUCAGCUUGUUGGUGGGGUAGUGGCUUACCAAGGCUUUGACGGGUAGCCGGCCUGAGAGGGUGACCGGCCACAUUGGGACUGAGAUACGGCCCAGACUCCUACGGGAGGCAGCAGUGGGGAAUAUUGCACAAUGGGCGGAAGCCUGAUGCAGCAAAGCCGCGUGCGGGAUGACGGCCUUCGGGUUGUAAACCGCUUUCGCCUGUGACGAAGCGUGAGUGACGGUAAUGGGUAAAGAAGCACCGGCUAACUACGUG